AACGUAGGACGCAAGCGUUAUCCGGAGCUACUGGGCGUAAAGCGCGGGCAGGCGGUCGGGCAAGUGGGGUGUGAAAUCUCCCAGCUUAACUGGGAGAGGCCAUUCCAAACUGAUCGACUCGAAGGCAGGAGAGGGUAGUGGAAUUCCCGGUGUAGUGGUGAAAUGCGUAGAUAUCGGGAGGAACACCAGUGGCGAAGGCGACUACCUGGCCUGUUUCUUGACGCUGAGGCGCGAAAGCUAGGGGAGCAAACGGG
rnacentral:rRNA from 1 species